GGGUCAAUGUCCGAGUGGUUAAAGGAGGCAGACUGUAAAUCUGCUGGCGAAUGUCUACGGUGGUUCGAAUCCAUCUUGGCCCA
rnacentral:tRNA from 2 species